AUUGAACGCUGGCGGCAUUCUUUACACAUGCAAGUCGAACGGUAACAGGCCGCAAGGUGCUGACGAGUGGCGAACGGGUGAGUAAUGCAUCGGAACGUGCCCAGUCGUGGGGGAUAACGCAGCGAAAGCUGCGCUAAUACCGCAUACGAUCUAUGGAUGAACGCGGGGGACCGGAAGGCCUCGCGCGAUUGGAGCGGCAGAUGUCAGAUUAGGUAGUUAGUGGGGUAAAGGCUCACCAAGCCAACGAUCUGUAGCUGGUCUGAGAGGACGACCAGCCACACUGGGACUGAGACACGGCCCAGACUCCUACGGGAGGCAGCAGUGGGGAAUUUUGGACAAUGGGCGCAAGCCUGAUCCAGCAAUGCCGCGUGCAGGAAGAAGGCCUUCGGGUUGUAAACUGCUUUUGUACGGAACGAAACGGCUCUGGUUAAUACCUGGGGCUAAUGACGGUACCGUAAGAAUAAGCACCGGCUAACUACGUGCCAGCAGCCGCGGUAACAC
rnacentral:rRNA from 1 species